AAAGUUACUUCGGUACAUCGGUGACAGGUGGUGCAUGGUUGUCGUCAGCUCGUGUCGUGAGAUGUUGGGUUAAGUCCCGCAACGAGCGCAACCCCUAUUGUUAGUUGCCAUCAUUCAGUUGGGCACUCUAGCGAGACUGCCGGUAAUAAAACCGGAGGAAGGUGGGGAUGACGUCAAAUCAUCAUGCCCCUUAUGACCUGGGCUACACACGUGCUACAAUGGUUGGUACAACGAGUUGCGAGUCGGUGACGGCGAGCUAAUCUCUUAAAGCCAAUCUCAGUUCGGAUUGUAGGCUGCAACUCGCCUACAUGAAGUCGGAAUCGCUAGUAAUCGCGGAUCAGCACGCCGCGGUGAAUACGUUCCCGGGCCUU
rnacentral:rRNA from 1 species